ACCAUUAUUAUUUGAGUAGAGCAAGACAUGACCUACACAUUCAGAGUCCAGCUGUCUAGCUAUAUGAUCUUAGCAACCAAUUUUUUGUGGGCACAAAAAUUACCUAAAAUAGCUUUUAAAAACAAACAAAAAGUGCCCCAUCUGCUUCUGGUUUUGAAAAAAUAAAAUUUUCAUAUUAAACAGAGCAGAAUUGCCACUCUCAGAGGAUCCCAGGAGAAACUAUUUGUACAAUUCUGGGGUGUGGGUUAGAAAAUGCCAUCCUGAAGGUCUGGAGAGAUCAAAACCAUCUGUGGAGAAUGCAUGUGGUCACAAGGGUACAUUUUAUCCCCACCUGAACAUUAUCUACAACUUACUAGGAAUUGAGUCAUCAGAGAAAUUUGUUUCUGUGAACAUGCUUUAUUAAAUGCAGUACCACCCCCAUAUCUGCAGGGGAUACAUCCUAAGGUGCAUAUACCCACACCCCACUGACACUUGGAACCAUAGAUAAUAGCGAACCUUACAUUUUAUCUAUACUUCAGCUGGAAACCCACCACAGAAUCAUAGGAACAAAGUGGGCACCACACUAAAACAUUUUUCUACUUGUAAUAGCAGCAAUGUAAUCUACCUCUUGACAUGUGACUGUGAUCUCUGGUAUAUCGGAAAAACAACCAGAUCCUUGAGAAUCAGAAUCUCUGAACAUAAAUCCAGAAUCAAAAAUUUAUCUACAGAAUCUCUUUUAUAUUCACACUUCACCCAAUACAAACAUUCAUCUACCUCAUUUAAAUUUUGUGCUCUGGAAUGCAUCUCUCAAAAACCUUUCAUGGACUUGGAAAAACUAUUAUCCCAAAGGGAAAUGUACUGGAUCUUUAAGUUUAAAACCUUUUCCCCUCAGGGACUUAAUGAAUCACUUAAUUUUAGCUGUUUCCUUUAAACCUUCAAGUACUCUUUAAAAACCUUUGAAUGAACCUCCAGAAUUACUCGCAGUUGAAAUCACCACAAGCAGAGUCACUCAGUGAAAGCAUUUAGCACUAUAUAGAAAUUCAUUGUUGCUGAGUUUAACAACUCCUGAAGAAGGGGUUUUUCCCUGAAACAGGGUCAAAAAUACCCGGGACCCCUGUAGACUUGGGACUUUAUUUGGACUUUACUUUUGAAGACUUUUUUGAGAGCGGUGCUCCAUCAUUAUUUUCUUCAAUCCAGUAUACAGCAAUACGACCAACCAUCUGUUUGGAAGAUAUUUUCAUUGACUGUAUCCCUGAAGCCUAUAUGUAUUGGAACCAAUACCAGACUUGAACAACUUUUGUGUUAGAGCUGUUGCUCCUUUUCAUUUUGUCGGGUACGGCCAAAUUGAGCUUUGUACGGGGAACUGUAACAAUAUAUGUCAUUUGGACACA